rnacentral:rRNA from 1 species
GACGAACGCUGGCGGCGUGCUUAACACAUGCAAGUCGAACGGAAAGGCCCUGCUCUUGUGGGGUGCUCGAUUGGCGAACGGGUGAGUAACACGUGAGUAACCUGCCCUUGACUUUGGGAUAACUUCAGGAAACUGGGGCUAAUACCGGAUAGGAGCUCCUGCUGCAUGGUGGGGGUUGGAAAGUUUCGGCGGUUGGGGAUGGACUCGCGGCGUAUCAGCUUGUUGGUGGGGUUGUGGCUUACCGAGGCUUUGACGGGUAGCCGGCCUGAGAGGGUGACCGGCGACAUUGGGACUGAGGGACGGCACAGGCUGCUACGGGAGGCAGCAGUGGGGAAUAUUGCAGGAUGGGCGGAGGCCGGAUGCAGCAACGCCGCGUGCGGGAUGACUGCCUUAGGGUUGUAAACCGCUUGCGCCUGUGACGAAGCGUGAGUGACGGUAAUGUGUAAAGAAGCACCGGCUAACUACGUG